GUGAAAAGGAACUCGGCGUUAGGGGGUGAGUAAGUGAAUCAACUCGCCCGGAGCCGAGCAAGUUGAAGUGUCAGAUUACAUUGGCUAUUCUAUUUCCAAAGGGCCCCGCGCCGCCGGCCGCCCGCAAAAGCCGGUGCGGAGUCAGGCCGGAGUGGAGCGCCGCGCCGCGCCGCCGCCGCUGCCGGCGCUCGGCUUGGCUCGCGCUCUGCGCUCUCUUUCCCCUUUCCUUUUCGCCUCUCCUCGUUCUCUCCCUCGCCUUUCCUUUCCUUUCUCUUCCUCUCUUCCUCGCUCCUCGGUCUCGGCGCUCUCCCAGCUUUUCUUCUCCUGGCUCCUGGUUCCCCGCUACGCCACCAGUCCACUCACCUCUCUCCUUGCCCUACUCCCUCCGCUACUCCCUGACGCCCCCUGCAGCCCCCAGCCCCCCUGCAGGCCCCAGCCCCAGUAAGUUUGGAGAGGGGAACAAAUGCUGAGCCUAGGUAGGGACCACCUUGGGGAGGAAGCCAAAAUCACACUGCUCACCCGAGAGCCCCUGCCCCGCGCUGGCACGCCCCCGCCUGGAGUGCACUCGUGGCCCCGGGCGCUGUCAGGUACCCGAAUUGGGGCUGCCACCGUGUCGGAGGCGAGGCGAGGAAGGGAGCUGGAAUAACAAAGGGAGGUAAUGGGGUAGAUUGGAUACCUCUGGGGUCUUGGAAGAAGCUAUGACUUAUUUACUGUCUACUAUGUGGCCCUGACAUUCUCCAGCUUUCAUGGUGUUCCUGCAAUCCAAGUGCCGCUUAUCUCUCUACAGGGCUGGAAGAAAGCCAUACUUCUGACUCCAGGAAGUGCUUUGGUGGAGCUGGACCGGCUUCUGAGCUGUCUGUGGCGUGAGGCUGGGAUAAGUGUUUGGUCACCUGGGAUGGGGAGCCACUGGCCUGAGGUGACACAGACAAAGGGGAGCCAGGAGAACCUGUCCUGGCUCACUGUGGAGCACCCCGACCCUGCUCCCCUGCAGCAGGCUCAGCUAUAAGGCAUUGCCAGCCUAGCCCCGCGGUUUCUUUUGCUGGGAUAAAUUCAGUGGAAGGAGCUGUGUAAAGGCACAGGCCCUGCCCCACAGAGAAUCCUUGUCACUUACAUGCUCCAAGAGGUCUCAGAACUAGGGGACUUCCUCCCCUCCCUCCUCCUUGUCUGGAGCUGGCAUUAGGCCCCACAUCUUCCAGACCCAAGAAGGGCAUUUACUCCAGGAGAUGGCUGGGCAGACCCUCAGUAGGUAUUCCACGAAAGUGUUCAUGGCUUAAACCCAACACUUGAUUUCUCCCUGAGCCAGUCUCUGUGAAUGUCCUCACCAUCGUCCUGUGUCACUCCUGGCCUCCUGCUAACAACCAAAUCUAUUGACUCUCCAGAUCCCCAAUGUCUCCAUGUCACACUACUUCCAUUGCCACCAUUCCUGUCUGUAUCCUUGUCUUAGGUCCACCAGAUGACCGGCUGGCCUCCUAAUUGGGCUUCCUGCAUUCCUGCCUGUGCUCGGAGCUCCCUUCUCCACUUGCCUGCUGGAGGAGGUUUACAAACAAAAUCAGAUCAUGGCACUCCCCUGGGGCCCUGCAUCCUGUGGCCAGCAGGUCUUGGAAACGCCCCUGUACCCCAGAAACUUCCUGAUCAGUCCCUGGUCAGUGUAUAUCAUGCUUCCUGUGACAUGACAUCAACUUUUCAGUGACUUCCACUGGUUUUGGCCCAGCUCGAAGAGCCUGACACCUCUGCAGGGAAUUCUACCAGGGAGCUCAGGAGGGGGAAUUGCACUGAAGAUUUGUCCCAUCGUGAAGCAAGAGCACUGGAACUUACACUCCACCAUCAGGCCCUGUCACAGGAGAACAAAGAAGGAAGGCAGAGGAGAUCAUGCUCCGGCCAGCAGGGAAUCUCCAUUUUUUUCAGCCUCAUACCUUGGAAAGUACAAAGGAGUGAGAGCUGGGACUACCAGCCAGAGGGUUCAUGGAGGUAGUGGGAGGGGAAGAUGGGUUCUGCAUGGAGCCACUCCAGGGACUUUUCUUCUGUCUCACAGCCUGACAAUCACCUCUAGCUGUUCUCAGUCCCAUUCUCAUCAAUGACCUCGUCUCCUGAUUUUGUACAAUAUCUAGGUGACCUUCUCUUCUUUCCAUCUUCAAACGCUUGAUCAUUGAUGCUCCCUUUUCUCUUCUCUCUCCUCCUGGGAAAAGAGAAGGACCAACAUCCCCCUUUCCCUUCCUCCUGUGCUGUCCCGACCCCUCUGAGACCUGGCUCUAGCAGUAAGUCCCUCUCUCUUCUGCAGCACCAGCCUCUGCCCAUCCCUGCCCUCUGCACACAAAGCUCUCACAUUGUCUGCACUUUAAGAACUUUUGUGGCAAACCCUGGCAAAUCCUGCCACUUGUUUCCACUCUUCUCAAAUGGCUUUGAGGUCAUCAUUGACCUAUCCCAUUUGACCCUGUCCUGUAUCUGAUGUUGUACCCUUUCUCCUUGAUCCCACUCUGGCAACUCUCCCACUCCCCUUUCUUGGAUCAACUGUCUUGCUCCUCAGUCUUGAUCAAUGCCUCCUUCUCUCUCUUUAGCCUUGGCCCUUUUUGGCCAGGGAAAUAAAUGUGAAAUACAUAAAGCUUCAUUUUAUCUUAUGAUUAUAGCUAUGUUGAUGUUACCCAAGACCUAAAAGUCACACUCUCUAAUUACACUUCCCUCCUGUGUUCUGGGUCCUCUUGGACCAGUCCUUACUCUGGCUCCCCUCCUGGAUGUCUCCCAGACUUCUAAUUAGAAUUACUGUUUCCUAUAUCAAGCUAAUUAUCUUUCCCACCAACCUCCUCCAUCCUUGGGUGAAAGCAUCACUUGGUUGCAAAAGUCAGAAAUCUGGGUUUCAUUCUUGCGGUAGGUAGAAUAAUGCCCCCAGGCCCCAGGUUUUGACAUCCGAAUCCCUGGGACUUUGCAGAUGUGAUUCAGUUUAGGAUUUUGAGAUGGGGAGAUUAUCUGGGAGAGCCUGAUGUCAUCAUAAGGUUCUUAUAAGAGGGAGGCAGGAGGGUUAGAGUGAGUAGUAAGAGAUGCAACAGUGGAAGCAAGAGGUUGGGGUGAUGUGGCCACAAGCCCAGGAGUGCUGACAGACAUCAGAAGCUGGAAGGGACAAGGAAUGGUUUCUCCUCUGGAGCCUCCAGAAAGAACCAGCCCUGCUGACACCUUGAUUUUAGCCUUGGAAGACUCAUUUUGGACUUCUGACCUUGAACGUUGUAAGAGAAUAAAUUUACAUAUUUUAAACUGGUA
rnacentral:lncRNA from 1 species